CCUGCUCCUAGAGGCAUUGCAGGUUUGGCUGAUGUGUCGAGUGUGCAUCAGCAGGUGGUAGAGAGGAGAAAGGCUGUGUUUAUGCUCCGUGUUCUGAUCUCUGAACAUCUGCAGGAUUAGUAGCCUAACAUU
rnacentral:snoRNA from 1 species